rnacentral:rRNA from 1 species
GGGAACCUCACCCGGCCCGGACACCGCGAGGAUUGACAGACUGAGAGCUCUUUCUCGAUUCGGUGGGUGGUGGUGCAUGGCCGUUCUUAGUUGGUGGAGCGAUCUGUCUGGUUAAUUCCGAUAACGAACGAGACCCCAACCUGCUAACUAGCCCUCGGGUCCUGCUUCUGUUGGGCCGACGGAAUGAUUCGCUUCUUAGAGGGACUCGCGGCGCCUAGCCGCACGAAGGGGGGCGAUAA